UACGUAGGUGGCAAGCGAUACUCGGAAUCACUAGGCGUAAAGCGCAGGUAGGUGGUUUGAUAAGUCUUUUGUGAAAGCUCCCGGCUUAACUGGGAGAGGCCAAGGGAAACUGUCAGACUAGAGUUUGGUAGGGGAUACUGGAAUUCCUGGUGUAGCGGUGAAAUGCGUAGAUAUCAGGAGGAAUACCUAUGGCGAAAGCAGGUAUCUGGGCCAUAACUGACACUGAGCUGCGAAAGCUAGGGGAGCAAACAGG
rnacentral:rRNA from 1 species